rnacentral:rRNA from 1 species
GAUGAACGCUGGCGGCGUGCCUAAUACAUGCAAGUCGAGCGAACAGACGAGGAGCUUGCUCCUCUGACGUUAGCGGCGGACGGGUGAGUAACACGUGGAUAACCUACCUAUAAGACUGGGAUAACUUCGGGAAACCGGAGCUAAUACCGGAUAAUAUAUUGAACCGCAUGGUUCAAUAGUGAAAGACGGUUUUGCUGUCACUUAUAGAUGGAUCCGCGCCGCAUUAGCUAGUUGGUAAGGUAACGGCUUACCAAGGCAACGAUGCGUAGCCGACCUGAGAGGGUGAUCGGCCACACUGGAACUGAGACACGGUCCAGACGCCUACGGGAGGCAGCAGUAGGGAAGCUUCCGCAAUGGGCGAAAGCCUGACGGAGCAACGCCGCGUGAGUGAUGAAGGUCUUCGGAUCGUAAAACUCUGUUAUUAGGGAAGAACAAAUGUGUAAGUAACUAUGCACGUCUUGACGGUACCUAAUCAGAAAGCCACGGCUAACUACGUG